rnacentral:rRNA from 1 species
GGCUACACACGUGCUACAAUGGCGAUGACAGAGGGACGCAAGCCGGCGACGGUGAGCCAAUCUCUAAAAGUCGUCUCAGUUCGGAUUGUUCUCUGCAACUCGAGAGCAUGAAGUCGGAAUCGCUAGUAAUCGCGUAUCAGCAAUGACGCGGUGAAUACGUUCCCGGACCUUGUACACACCGCCCGUCAAGCCAUGGGAGUUGGGUAUGCCUGAAGAUGGUUGUUGAA